GUCCCGGUGGCGCAGCAGGAUAGCGCGGCCCCCUCCUAAGGGGCAGGUCGCAGGUUCGAAUCCUGCCCGGGACACCA
rnacentral:tRNA from 1 species